rnacentral:rRNA from 1 species
UACGUAGGGGGCAAGCGUUGUCCGGAAUCAUUGGGCGUAAAGCGCGCGUAGGCGGCCCGGUAAGUCCGCUCUGAAAGUCCGGGGCUCAACCCUGGAAAGCGGGUGGAUACUGCCGGGCUAGAAUCCGGAAGAGGCGAGUGGAAUUCCUGGUGUAGCGGUGGAAUGCGCAGAUAUCAGGAGGAACACCAAUAGCGAAGGCAGCUCGCUGGGACGGUAUUGACGCUAGGCGCGAAAGCGUGGGGAGCAAACAGG